UACGAAGGAGGCUAGCGUUGUUCGGAAUUACUGGGCGUAAAGCGCGCGCAGGCGGUCCUUUAAGUCAGGGGUGAAAGCCCAGAGCUCAACUCUGGAACUGCCUUUGAAACUAGAGGACUUGGGUACGGGAGAGGUGAGUGGAAUUCCGAGUGUAGAGGUGAAAUUCGUAGAUAUUCGGAAGAACACCAGUGGGCGAAGGCGGC
rnacentral:rRNA from 1 species